ACCUAGGGGCUGUGUGUGGAGCGCAUAGGAAUCGGAAGUGAAUCUCCUGUUCAGAUUCGGGUGGUACCAGAGGUCCCUAUGGACACGCAAACAUUCCACCACCCAAAACACUCUGGCCCCAAGUACAGAUUCCAGGUCUCCUAGUUUCCUGGUACAGAUGCAUCAAGACCCUUCACUCUGUGAACACGACGGGGGAACCAGCCUUUGGCAGUGGGAGACCAAGAGGAUCUUCAAAGAUUUCCUCUCUGAGCAAAAGGAGAAGAAAUCUGCCCGUACAACUUUGACACUGUAAUUCAGAAAGGGGUUGUACUCUUUGAAAUGGGUUUACAUGCACACGUAGGGACGGAUGGACACCAUGAACGUGUGAGCUGUACUCAGUCCCAUCAAUACAUCGCACAUUAAAAAUGGGUUGUGGCUU